UACGGGGGGGGUAAGCGUUGUUCGGAAUUACUGGGCGUAAAGGGCUCGUAGGCGGCCAACUAAGUCGGACGUGAAAUCCCUCAGCUUAACUGGGGAACUGCGUCCGAUACUGGAUGGCUUGGAUUUGGGAGAGGGAUGCGGAAUUCCAGGUGUAGCGGUGAAAUGCGUAGAUAUCUGGAGGAACACCCGGUAGGCGAAGGCGGCACCUGUCGGCGAA
rnacentral:rRNA from 1 species